UACGUAGGGUGCAAGCGUUACUCGGAAUUACUGGGCGUAAAGCGCGCGCAGGCGGUUCGCUAAGUCAGAUGUGAAAUCCCCGGGCUUAACCUGGGAACUGCAUUUGUGACUGGCGGGCUAGAGUAUGGCAGAGGGGGGUAGAAUUCCACGUGUAGCAGUGAAAUGCGUAGAGAUGUGGAGGAAUACCGAUGGCGAAGGCAGCCCCCUGGGCCAAUACUGACGCUCAUGCACGAAAGCGUGGGGAGCAAACAGG
rnacentral:rRNA from 1 species